rnacentral:rRNA from 1 species
GACGAACGCUGGCGGCGUGCUUAACACAUGCAAGUCGAACGGAAAGGCCCUGCUUUUGUGGGGUGCUCGAGUGGCGAACGGGUGAGUAACACGUGAGUAACCUGCCCUUGACUUUGGGGUAACUUCAGGAAACUGGGGCUAAUACCGGAUAGGAGCUCCUGCUGCAUGGUGGGGGUUGGAAAGUUUCGGUGGUUGGGGAUGGACUGGCGGCUUAUCAGAUUGUUGGUUGGGUAGUGGCUUACCAAGGCUUUGACGGGUGGCCGGGCUGAGAGGGUGACCGGCCACGUUGGGAUUGGGAUGCGGCACAGACUCCAACGGGAGGCAGCGGUGGGGAAUAGUGUAUAAUGGGCGGAAGCCUGAUGCAGCAACGCCGCGUGGGGGAUGAGGGCCUUCGGGUUGUAAUCCGCUUUCGCCUGUGACGAAGCGUUAGUGACGGUAAUGGGUAAAGAAGCACCGGCUAACUACGUG